rnacentral:tRNA from 1 species
GUGGUGGUUCAGUGGUAGAAUUCUCCCCUUCCACGAGGGAGACCUGGGUUCAAUCCCCAGCCAACACG